rnacentral:rRNA from 1 species
UACAGAGGGUGCGAGCGUUGUCCGGAAUCACUGGGCGUAAAGGGCGCGUAGGUGGUGGCUUAAGCGUGCGGUGAAAGCUCGGGGCUCAACUCCGAGUCGGCCGUGCGAACUGGGCUCACUGGAGCAUAGUAGAGGCAGGUGGAAUUCCUGGUGUAGCGGUGGAAUGCGCAGAUAUCAGGAGGAACACCAAUGGCGAAGGCAGCUCGCUGGGACGGUACUGACGCUGAGGCGCGAAAGCGUGGGGAGCGAACAGG